rnacentral:rRNA from 1 species
AACGAACGCUGGCGGCAUGCCUAACACAUGCAAGUCGAACGAGACCUUCGGGUCUAGUGGCGCACGGGUGCGUAACGCGUGGGAACCUGCCCUUAGGUUCGGAAUAACUCCCCGAAAGGGGUGCUAAUACCGGAUAAUGUCUUCGGACCAAAGAUUUAUCGCCUUUGGAUGGGCCCGCGUUGGAUUAGCUAGUUGGUAGGGUAAAAGCCUACCAAGGCGACGAUCCAUAGCUGGUCUGAGAGGAUGAUCAGCCACACUGGGACUGAGACACGGCCCAGACUCCUACGGGAGGCAGCAGUGGGGAAUAUUGGACAAUGGGCGAAAGCCUGAUCCAGCAAUGCCGCGUAAGUGAUGAAGGCCUUAGGGUUGUAAAGCUCUUUUACCCGGGAUGAUAAUGACAGUACCGGGAGAAUAAGCUCCGGCUAACUCCGU